rnacentral:rRNA from 1 species
AGAAUCAACGCUGGCGGCGUGCCUAACACAUGCAAGUCGAACGAGAAAGUGGAGCAAUCCAUGAGUAAAGUGGCGCACGGGUGAGUAACACGUGACUAACCUACCUUUUAGUGGGGGAUAACCUAGGGAAACCUGGGCUAAUACCGCAUAAUACUUACGAGUCAAAGCAGCAAUGCGCUGAAAGAGGGGGUCGCGGCCGAUUAGCUAGUUGGCGGGGUAAUGGCCCACCAAGGCAGUGAUCGGUAUCCGGCCUGAGAGGGCGCACGGACACACUGGAACUGAAACACGGUCCAGACUCCUACGGGAGGCAGCAGUGGGGAAUUUGCGCAAUGGGGGAAACCCUGACGCAGCAACGCCGCGUGGAGGAUGAAGUCCCUUGGGACGUAAACUCCUUUCGAUCGGGACGAUAAUGACGGUACCGGAAGAAGAAGCCCCGGCUAACUUCGUGCCAGCAGCCGC